AGGGCUCACUGCCUUCCUGAAUUCUGUGUUCCUUAACUGACUCCCAGAGCCCGCCCCACAUCUACAGGAAAAGCCCUGGCGCUUCCCCCGUCCGCAUCCUGGUUUGUGAAGUCCCUCCCGAGUGCCACCGAGGCUUCUAGCCGAGGUCUGAGCCACCUCCCUUAAUUCACUUUGCUGUGGUGGCUCCGAACCAUGGGGCCACAGUGGCUCCUGCUCUCUCUGGGGAUAGCUUCCAAGGGAGAGGUGCGUUUCGGGACAGGACGCAGGGUCAGAGGAUCCAUCAGCCGGGGUGGGGGGUGGGCGAAGGCGUGACCUGUGGUGCCCGCCCCCGAGUGCUUGGUCCCAGCUCCCUGCCCCCAGGCCGUCCUGGGCUCCUCCCAUCACCCCAGCCUCUUCCCUCCCUUAAGGGGUCACAAUCGUGGAUGUGAGCCCUUGGGUUGGAGAAUGCUUAGCAGAGAGGGAAUUCCAGUUAGUCCUAACCCUGUUUCCGGACAGGGAAACGGAGCCCACAGAGGGCUGUGGGCCCCCUGCAGCCUCAGGACCGUGGCAGGGAUGGGCCCACGUCCAUGUCUUCAGACGCCUGUCCUCUCCUGCCCCCUUCCUUAUCCUGAGGCUUCCUCGAUUUCCACAGUGAGGAGUGACAUUUCCAAUUAUAAUACAGAAUCAGACUGUGGGAUGCCGGCUAGUCUAUUUUCUUCAUUAAUCUUUUCUGUAUCUUCUAGUUUUUAAAAUAACCAUGCAGCACUUCUCGGCAUCAGAUUUUCCUCUGAUUCUAAAUGACAUUAAACUUUUUUUUACAUGCAGUUUGGACAUUUUUACUCUCUAAGCAAAGCUUCUGAGUUCUUUGCUUCCAUGUGGCCCCCGAGCAAAUGUUUCUCUGGCACCCGACAGGAAAAAGGGAAGACAGGAUGCUUUCUCCAGCUCCUCCAGCUCCUGGCGAGCUUGGCCAGGAGGAUGCGGCUGUUGCCCCGCCCCCGCUGUGAGGGAGAAAGGCUGGGCCCAUGAGGCUCUGGGAUGUCUCGGGGCUGCUGUGCUUUAUGAUGCUCUGAACCGAGGCCUUGACUUUUUCCUUUCUCCAAGGGUCAUGCAAAAAUUAAGUCAAAGUGAAAGAGGCGAUAUUUAAAGUCCCCAGUUACGGAGACAAAUCUCUCCGAGCCUGAGGAGGGGACGCCCCCUCCAAGGCCAGCCCCCCCCACCCCGACUCAGGACAGGAGGAGGGCACAGAGGGGUGGAGCUCUCUCUUAGUUUUCACAACAGACGUCCCCAAUGAGGUGCCAGGAAGGCAGGAGGGAAACCAGCCACGUCACCAGGGCGGUCUGGGUGGACAGAGGAUGAGGCUGGCGGCUCCCUGGGGCACUAGCGUGGACCACGCUGGGGAUGCUCUGUGGACACUCUCCCCUCGCCCCAAGAGGUCCGUCCCCCACCCAGCUCAGCCACCCUAAGUUGCAGAAUUGCCAGACACUGGCAUCUCUGGCCCUGCAGGGUGGUUUUGGGGUGGGGAGGCCAACGGGAACCCCACACCCCACAGCUGCCUGCUCUGGAGAACCCCUCAGCUCCCCCGGAAAGCAGCCCGUCUCGCUGUGAGGGGUACCAGGUGCAGGUCCUCCAGCGGCUUCCCCUCCGAGCCUCAGUAAGGGAGGGUGGGGCGGCAAGAGGACCCCCGACCCAUGGCCCACGCUCUCCCCACGAGGCCUGGUGCCUGCACUGCCCUCCACGGCCCGCAGAGGGCACCCGCCAGCCACACUGAGGCCUUUCCUGGGGGACGACGCUAAGGGCCAAGGCGUCUGCUGGACACUUCCAAAUCCCAGA
rnacentral:lncRNA from 1 species